GACGAACGCUGGCGGCGUGCUUAACACAUGCAAGUCGAACGGAAAGGCCCUGCUUUUGUGGGGUGCUCGAGUGGCGAACGGGUGAGUAACACGUGAGUAACCUGCCCUUGACUUUGGGAUAACUUCAGGAAACUGGGGCUAAUACCGGAUAGGAGCUCCUGCUGCAUGGUGGGGGUUGGAAAGUUUCGGCGGUUGGGGAUGGACUCGCGGCUUAUCAUCUUGUUGGUGGGGGAGUGGCUUACCCUGGGUUUGACGGGUAGCCGGCAUGAGAGGGUGACCGGCGACAUUGGGACUGAGGUACGGACCAGACUCCUACGGGAGGCAGCAGUGGGGAAUAUUGCACAAUGGGCGGAAGCCUGAUGCAGCAACGCCGCGUGCGGGAUGACGGCCUUCGGGUUGUAAACCGCUUUCGCCUGUGACGAAGCGUGAGUGACGGUAAUGGGUAAAGAAGCACCGGCUAACUACGUG
rnacentral:rRNA from 1 species